rnacentral:rRNA from 1 species
UUUUGCGCAAUGGGCGAAAGCCUGACGCAGCAACGCCGCGUGGGGGAUGAAGGCCUUCGGGUUGUAAACCCCUUUCAGGAGGGAAGAAAAUGACGGUACCUCCAGAAGAAGCACCGGCCAACUACGUGCCAGCAGCCGCGGUAAUACGUAGGGUGCGAGCGUUAUCAUGAAUCAUUGGGCGUAAAGAGCUCGUAGGCGGUUCAACAAGUCGGCUGUGAAAGUCUGGGGCUCAACCCCAUAAUUGCAGUCGAUACUGUUGUGACUUGAGUCCGGUAGAGGAGAAUGGAAUUCCCGGUGUAGCGGUGGAAUGCGCAGAUAGCGGGAGGAACACCAGUAGCGAAGGCGGUUCUCUGGGCCGGCACUGACGCUGAGGAGCGAAAGCGUGGGGAGCAAACA